UACGGAGGGAGCUAGCGUUAUUCGGAAUUACUGGGCGUAAAGCGCACGUAGGCGGCUUUGUAAGUUAGAGGUGAAAGCCUGGAGCUCAACUCCAGAAUUGCCUUUAAGACUGCAUCGCUUGAAUCCAGGAGAGGUGAGUGGAAUUCCGAGUGUAGAGGUGAAAUUCGUAGAUAUUCGGAAGAACACCAGUGGCGAAGGCGACUCACUGGACAUGUAUUGACGCUGAGGUGCGAAAGCGUGGGGAGCAAACAGG
rnacentral:rRNA from 1 species